rnacentral:lncRNA from 1 species
AGCAAUAAAAUACCAAGUCACCAACAUAUUAGAUAUUAUAAUACUUAUUUCAAAAUCUGAAGGCUGUAACCAAAGCAAAUCUUGAAAUAGAAAGAGUAUAAAACAAUACCAAAAUUUGAACUUCAUAGCCUCGAAUAAAUUCAUGAAAAGUAUAUUGACAUGGUCGAGACCCUAAACGUAAUAGUUUAAGUAAAAUUAACCAUCGCCAUUGUUAAAAAAAGAAUCAAUUAUAAAAUGAAUGAAGCCUCAGUUGUCUUAGUGUUUGGAAGUUAAUCCUUCCAAUCAUUUCAGAUAUCAGUACAAGCCUACGACACACAUCAUUGGCUAUGGCAGCAAUUUCCGGAAAACGACCACGGAUUUGUAAACCGUACAGUGAAUAGCAAAAUUUCAUAAUUUUUCACUUUUUAAGAAAAUCAUUCAGAUAACAAAUAAAUAAUAGUAGGAGUAAAAUAACAAAAGAGAAAAGAAAAACCAGAACAUCAAAGAUGAAGAAAUUGGGAACAGAACUUGAACUGAAUACGAUCAGAGGAAAACGGCAAC